UUUAAGCUACAGAUGAUUCUGGAAUUGCUGGAAUCAGGAUGCACAGACCACAGCUGGAAGCCUUUAUCGAUUCCAUUUCAUGACAUUUAUUAAGUUGGAAAUAUGAGAAGUGGGUAGGCAUCUAUCGUUAAAUGAGAUAAAACAUAUAAAAUACCAGGCACUGAAAUGAACAUUUGCUACCCUCUCUUCCACGCAACCCCAUGGGGAAGAAGAUUAACAGGCAAUCACUCAAAUUGUCACUGAUCAUUUCUUGGGUUCCUGGAACCUGGAACCAGAGUGAUGUUUGGGAUGUGAGGAGCUUCUUUCAUAGGCGGAGUCUAGAAUUGUAUCAGAAGAAAGGAAAAAUUAAUGGAAAAUGACUUGAUCUUACACCCGAUCGUUUGGAACAUUCCAAAGCCAAGAGAGGCCUUUCUUGUCACACGUGAUUUCAUGAUAAUUAGGGCCAGCUGUGCCUGGGCAAUUCAGGUCAAACCAGAUGCCAAACCCAACUCAAACACUUGCAGGAAGAUCUUGAUCGUCAAGAGCCUUCAAACAUCCUGUAGAAAAUCAAAAGAAGGAUUCUUGUGCAAGCCCGUCUCCAUCUCACUGGCUCCAUACAAUGGACACAUCCCCAGAUGAUCUCACCUGUUUCACGGCUUCUCAAUCCUACUUUCCUCCUUGGCCUCAGUCGCUGUUUCCUCUGGAAUCCUCAAGGAAGCACUUCAGUGUCUAGGACUCUGAGAGAUCACGCAAGGAUUAUGUUCAAGACGUGUUCCCUCCUGAUAGUUUGAGAAACAAAGACACACGUCUUCUCCUCUUGAUUAUAACUGAACUGUGGCCAGGCAGGGCGCCUUUUGGAAAAACAUACUGGAUAUGAGAAAUGUGUCCCAAACUCCCUAGGGGUCUUAAGCUCAUGUGCCUCAGGCUCCUUCUCAGUAAAAAAAAAAACAAAAAACAAACAAACAAACAAAACAAACAAACAAAAAAAAACAACUAUAAGCCUCAAUUUGUUGAUCUUUAAAGCCCCCUCUUUCUCUAACCCUUGAGGAUUCUGACAGUUGGUAGUUAAAUCGUCUGGAGGAAUUCCUACUGACUUAAACCAGUGGAUGCUCUUUUAGGAAGGUCAUCCUAUUAAUAUGGAAACCCUGUUGAACUCUGCAAAUUCUGGUCCCACCUUUGUGGGACCCAGGAGGAUAUUACUCCACCUAUAAGAAUAGCAUGAGGGCACUGCAACCUUGUUAGGUUUUUUUUUUAAUUAAAAAAAUAUUUUGGGGGGGCAGACUGGGUGGCUCAGCGGUUUAGCUCCUGCCUUCAGCCCAGGGUGUGAUCCUGGAGACCCAGGAUCGAGUCCCACAUCGGGCUCCCUGCAUGGAGUCUGCUUCUCCCUCUGCCUGUGUCUCUGCCUCUCUCUCUAUCUGUGUCUCUCAUGAAUAAAUAAAUUUAAAAAAAAUUUUUUUUUAAAGAU
rnacentral:lncRNA from 12 species